UACGAAGGGGGCCAGCGUUGCUCGGAAUGACUGGGCGUAAAGGGCGCGUAGGCGGAUUGUACAGUCAGGCGUGAAAUUCCCGGGCUCAACCUGGGGGCUGCGCUUGAGACGUGCGAUCUUGAGUGGGGAAGAGGGUCGUGGAAUUCCCAGUGUAGAGGUGAAAUUCGUAGAUAUUGGGAAGAACACCGGUGGCGAAGGCGGCGACCUGGUCCUUUUACUGACGCUGAGGCGCGAAAGCGUGGGGAGCAAACAGG
rnacentral:rRNA from 1 species